rnacentral:rRNA from 1 species
GAAACUCUGAUGCAGCAACGCCGCGUGGAGGAUGACGCAUUUCGGUGUGUAAACUCCUUUUAAGAGGGAAGAUWAUGACGGUACCUCUUGAAUAAGCACCGGCUAACUCCGUGCCAGCMGCCGCGGUAAUA